UACCCGGUGUUUUUCAACACCACCAUUUAUUCCAAUUGUGAUAAUU
rfam:Volvox carteri f. nagariensis unplaced genomic scaffold VOLCAscaffold_1, whole genome shotgun sequence.